rnacentral:rRNA from 1 species
CCUACGGGAGGCAGCAGUGGGGAAUAUUGCACAAUGGGGGAAACCCUGAUGCAGCGACGCCGCGUGAGCGAUGAAGUAUUUCGGUAUGUAAAGCUCUAUCAGCAGGGAAGAAAAUGACGGUACCUGACUAAGAAGCCCCGGCUAACUACGUGCCGGCAGCCGCGGUAAUACGUAGGGGGCAAGCGUUAUCCGGCUUUACUGGGUGUAAAGGGAGCGUAGACGGCGGUGCAAGCCAGAUGUGAAAGCCCGGGGCUCAACUCCGGGACUGCUUUUGAAACUGCUGA